GUUGGGGUGGCAGAAUACGGUAUUGCAAAAGACCUAAGCCCUUUACAUAGAAGUUCAAAUCCUCUCCUCAAUU
rnacentral:tRNA from 1 species